UGGGGAAUUUUGGACAAUGGGCGAAAGCCUGAUCCAGCAAUGCCGCGUGUGUGAAGAAGGCCUUCGGGUUGUAAAGCACUUUUGUCCGGAAAGAAAUGGCUCUGGUUAAUACCUGGGGUCGAUGACGGUACCGGAAGAAUAAGGACCGGCUAACUACGUGCCAGCAGCCGCGGUAAUACGUAGGGUCCAAGCGUUAAUCGGAAUUACUGGGCGUAAAGCGUGCGCAGGCGGUUGUGCAAGACCGAUGUGAAAUCCCCGAGCUUAACUUGGGAAUUGCAGUGGUGACUGCACGGCUAGAGUGUGUCAGAGGGGGGUAGAAUUCCACGUGUAGCAGUGAAAUGCGUAGAGAUGUGGAGGAAUACCGAUGGCGGAGGCAGCCCCCUGGGAUAACACUGACGCUCAUGCACGAAAGCGUGGGGAGCAAACAGG
rnacentral:rRNA from 1 species